rnacentral:rRNA from 1 species
GACGAACGCUGGCGGCGUGCUUAACACAUGCAAGUGGAGCGACGAACCAGGGCUUGCCCUGGGGCAGAGCCGCGAACGGGUGAGUAACACGUGGGUAACGUGCCCCGAUGACUGGGACAACCCGGGGAAACCCGGGCUAAUACCGGAUAUGCCCCCUGACAUCUGUCAGGUGUGUAAAGGAAGCUUCGGCCUCCGCAUCGGGAUCGGCCCGCGGCGCAUUAGCUUGUUGGUGGGGUAAUGGCCUACCAAGGCAGCGAUGCGUAGCUGGUCUGAGAGGACGAUCAGCCACACUGGGACUGAGACACGGCCCAGACUCCUACGGGAGGCAGCAGUGGGGAAUCUUGCACAAUGCGCGAAAGCGUGAUGCAGCAACGCCGCGUGCGGGAAGACGGCCUUCGGGUUGUAAACCUCUUUUAGCAGGGAAGAAGCGAAAGUGACGGUACCUGCAGAAAAAGCGCCGGCUAACUACGUGC